UUCGGAACUGAGUCUAGUUCCUUCGAUAUCAGUGUAAUCUAAUAACCAUGAUAUUUGUGAAUAUGAUGCUUGUGUGAUGUUACUCUGAGUGCAUAUCCACACCGGGCAAGCUUGAAAAAUAUGCCAAGCCACAUUGGGAUUCAAACCGACCUGACCGUGUAGCUCAGUUGACAGAGCAUUGCCAUUUGGGCUAGUAUUCCAAAGGUCGUAGGUUCAAAUCCCACUGUGGCCAGGCAUAUUUUUCAAGCCUGCCCGGUGUGGAUAUACACUCAGAGUAACAUCACACAAGCAUCUCAUUUCAUCACGUUCCUCCAGAUAUUCAUACACUUCCUGUGAAAGAGCCAAUUCCAAGUAUUUAAUCAUUUCUGGUCACUUCCUUUCUAUUUAUGAUUGGUUAGUUGCACAAACAACAAAGGUGAUUGGUGCAUUCAAACCAUUUAACAGGAAGUUUACAAUUAUACUAGGAAGUGUAUGAAUAUCUUGAGGAACUUAAUCAAAUGAAUUGGUUAGCCCAAGGUAAUGUAUUGAAUCAAUAUUUGAGGAACACUUCAAUUGGAACGACAGUGAAGAAUUAUUAAAAAAAAUAUUUUAUUCAAAAAAAGAUUUUCCAAGAUAAUUAUAUAAUUACAUUUAGUAAUAAG